rnacentral:rRNA from 1 species
GACGAACGCUGGCGGCGCGCCUAACACAUGCAAGUCGAACGAGCGAGAGAGAGCUUGCUUUCUUGAGCGAGUGGCGAACGGGUGAGUAACGCGUGAGGAACCUGCCUCAAAGAGGGGGACAACAGUUGGAAACGACUGCUAAUACCGCAUAAGCCCACGACCCGGCAUCGGGUUGAGGGAAAAGGAGCAAUCCGCUUUGAGAUGGCCUCGCGUCCGAUUAGCUAGUUGGUGAGGUAACGGCCCACCAAGGCGACGAUCGGUAGCCGGACUGAGAGGUUGAACGGCCACAUUGGGACUGAGACACGGCCCAGACUCCUAAGGGAGGCAGCAGUGGGGAAUAUUGCACAAUGGGGGAAACCCUGAUGCAGCGACGCCGCGUGGAGGAAGAAGGUCUUCGGAUUGUAAACUCCUGUUGUUGAGGAAGAUAAUGACGGUACUCAACAAGGAAGUGACGGCUAACUACGUG